rnacentral:tRNA from 1 species
AACUCAGUCAGUAGAGCAUGAGACUCUUAAUCUCAGGGUCAUGGGUUUGAGCCCCAU